rnacentral:misc_RNA from 1 species
GCUACUACCGCUUGAAUGGUUUAGUGAGGACUCCUGAUUGGCGCCGCCGCCCCGGCAACGGAGCAGCGGACUGCCGAAAAGUUGUUCAAACUUGAUCAUUUAGAGGAAGUAAAAGUCGUAACAAGGUUUCCGUAGGUGAACCUGCAGAAGGAUCAAGAUCGGAAGGGCGGCGGGUAGGGAAAGAGGGUAGAUCGCGGUGGUCGCCGUAUAAUUAAAAAAAAAAAAAACAGCAGAAUAACAUGACACAUAGCAGCAAUUGAGAGACACGAAUCUAUAU